CUCUGCCGCUGCUGCUGCCGCCGCCUUUGCCUUACGGCCUGGAGCACCAGGCCGAAGCCGAAGGGAGCGUCCGGAUCCCGGAUAGCAGCCAGGACCCGGGCCUUCACGUUCCGGCGCCAGGGACUGGACAGAAUGUGCGGCUAUUAGGUGCCCAGUAGAUCGACAGCCCCUCCGUGCCGGCCCUUGGCCAAGUAGGGACUCGGAAGCUACCCCUACGGCGUCCGCGCCCGGAGCCCUGGCUCUUCUACCUGCCUGCAGAUACAAACCCCACUCCCUGCGAAGAUGGUGUACACGCAGCCCCGAGCACAGACCCGAAGCUGUCCACCCUUCUUGGGCGCCGUCGCGGUCUGGCCGCUGCCCUUCGAACCCAUGUUCAGACAGGGUUUCACCGUGUUGGCCAGGAUGGUCUCGGUUUCCUGACCUCGUGAUCCACCCUCCUCGGCCUCCCAAAGUGCUGGGAUUACAGUCGUGAGCCACUGUUCCCGGCCAGAAUUCCUUAGAAGAUGAUCGUGGAUCAUUUCCACAUAUACAAAAUAAAAAUAAAAUUCAC
rnacentral:lncRNA from 10 species